rnacentral:rRNA from 1 species
AUUGAACGCUGGCGGCAUGCCUUACACAUGCAAGUCGAACGGCAGCACGGGUGCUUGCACCUGGUGGCGAGUGGCGAACGGGUGAGUAAUACAUCGGAACGUACCUUAUCGUGGGGGAUAACGCAGCGAAAGCUGUGCUAAUACCGCAUACGCCCUGAGGGGGCAAGCGGGGGAUCGCAAGACCUCGCGCGACUAGAGCGGCCGAUGCCUGAUUAGCUUGUUGGUGGGGUAAAAGCCCACCAAGGCGACGAUCAGUAGCUGGUCUGAGAGGACGAUCAGCCACACUGGGACUGAGACACGGCCCAGACUCCUACGGGAGGCAGCAGUGGGGAAUUUUGGACAAUGGGGGCAACCCUGAUCCAGCAAUGCCGCGUGAGUGAAGAAGGCCUUCGGGUUGUAAAGCUCUUUUGUCAGGGAAGAAACACCGGCUCUAACACAGUCCGGGAAUGACGGUACCUGAAGAAUAAGCACCGGCUAACUACGUGCCAGCCGCCGCCGUAA